rnacentral:rRNA from 1 species
AUUGAGCGCUGGCGGCAGGCUUAACACAUGCAAGUCGAGCGGAGUGAUGGUGCUUGCACUAUUACUUAGCGGCGGACGGGUGAGUAAUGCUUAGGAAUCUGCCAUUUAGUGGGGGACAACAUUCCGAAAGGAAUGCUAAUACCGCAUACGUCCUACGGGAGAAAGCAGGGGAUCUUCGGACCUUGCGCUAAAUGAUGAGCCUAAGUCGGAUUAGCUAGUUGGUGGGGUAAAGGCCUACCAAGGCGACGAUCUGUAGCGGGUCUGAGAGGAAGAUCCGCCACACUGGGACUGAGACACGGCCCAGACUCCUACGGGAGGCAGCAGUGGGGAAUAUUGGACAAUGGGCGGAAGCCUGAUCCAGCCAUGCCGCGUGUGUGAAGAAGGCCUUUUGGUUGUAAAGCACUUUAAGCGAGGAGGAGGCUCUCCUAGUUAAUACCUAGGAAGAGUGGACGUUACUCGCAGAAUAAGCACCGGCUAACUCUGUGCCAGCCGCCGCCGUAAGAC